GACGAACGCUGGCGGCGUGCUUAACACAUGCAAGUCGAACGGAAAGGCCCUGCUUUUGUGGGGUGCUCGAGUGGCGAGCGGGUGAGUAACACGUGAGUAACCUGCCCUUGACUUUGGGAUAACUUCAGGAAACUGGGGCUAAUACCGGAUAGGAGCUCCUGCUGCAUGGUGGGGGUUGGAAAGUUUCGGCGGUUGGGGAUGGACUCGCGGCUUAUCAGCUUGUUGGUGGGGUAGUGGCUUACCAAGGCUUUGACGGGUAGCCGGCCUGAGCGGGUGACCGGCCACACUGGGACUGAGAUACGGCCCAGACUCCUACGGGAGGCAGCAGUGGGGAAUAUUGCACAAUGGGCGGAAGCCUGAUGCAGCAACGCCGCGUGCGGGAUGACGGCCUUCGGGUUGUAAACCGCUUUCGCCUGUGACGAAGCGUGAGUGACGGUAAUGGGUAAAGAAGCUCCGGCUAACUACGUG
rnacentral:rRNA from 1 species